rnacentral:rRNA from 1 species
CGUAGCCGCGGUAAUACGUAGGUGGCAAGCGUUGUCCGGAAUUAUUGGGCGUAAAGGGCUCGCAGGCGGUUUCUUAAGUCUGGUGUGAAAGCCCCCGGCUCAACCGGGGAGGGUCAUUGGAAACUGGGAAACUUGAGUGCAGAAGAGGAGAGUGGAAUUCCACGUGUAGCGGUGAAAUGCGUAGAGAUGUGGAGGAACACCAGUGGCGAAGGCGACUCUCUGGUCUGCAACUGACGCUGAGGAGCGAAAGCGUGGGGAGCGAACAGGAUUAGAUACCCCCGUAGUCCCUGUCUCUUAUACA